GCCUGGGUGGCUCAAUGGUUGAGCGUCUGCCUUUGGCUCAGGUCGUGAUCCCGGGGCCUGGGAUCGAGUCCCACAUCGGGCU
rnacentral:tRNA from 1 species